GACCUCGCUGCAGCAUACAGAAAGGGGCGGGGACGGACCUUUCCGUCAGUCCCAUACCUUAUUUGGAAAUGGGACUAUUGCAUUCCGGAAAUGAAGGGGGCGCUGUUUUCAUAAUCACUAGUAUAAAUACCUUAAAGACGCGGGGUUAAGUGGAAACGAAGAAGAAAGAAAGAAGUUUAAGAGGUUCUUCCACUGGUGUUCGGCACACGAUCAACAAAACCCACAAAGUCAAGAAAAGAUCCACCUAUCCAUUUGCAACAUUUGGAACGGAGAGGAGAUUCUCCCGUAUUGCAUGAACAAUAAAUAGAAGUCUGUCUUCAGAUGUCAUCUGGACCUGGACAGAAUCUGUUCUGUAAUGAUGUUAAGGUGAGAUGUUCUGAUGGGACACUUGUGGUUCUUUAGAGCUACAAGAUGUUUAUUUCCAACCAUUCCUGCUUUAAAUGUUUAGAAUCAAUACUGUGGGUAAGGCUGUUUUCAUUUACCUCAAUUUAAUUGUUAUAAUAAUGACACAUUAAUUUUCUUCCCCCUUCUUGAAUUUUCUCUUAAACACCACAGGGAUUGUCUGAACAAGGACUGUCCAGCAACUGUUUUAACAUUUGUAGUCAUGGUAACAUCCGCUUCCACCCACCAUAUUGUUGUAUGGUCUUUAUAGAUGUAAUAAUCACAUUUUUCUCAACAGUGUACACUGUACUUUGUAAUGGGAGCAUCAUGUGAUUUCAGUGAGGAUGAUAUGAUGACAAUACGAAGAUGGUCGGUCUCUCUCUCUUAAGAAACUUUCCUGUGAGGUCCAGAGAAGAACAACAAAAGGAGAGAGAGUAGAAAAAAGUUGGUGAGAGGCAAAAUGUGAGACUGUGUGCUGAUGACCACACCUUCGCCAAAGCAGCCGAGGCACAAAUUGAGGUAGAAAGGAUACCGUCAAUCUUAC